AUGCCCACUACCACUUCACUCCUCCCACCAGCCGCCGCCACUCCAAGCUGCUCGAGAACCAGGACGAGAUCUUGGCCGGCGGCCAUGGCGGAGGCCGCAAGAGCAGGAGCGACGCCUCCCCACCGCGGCCUCCCGGAUGAGAUCUUCAUCUGGGAGAUCCUCGUCCGCCUGCCCCCCAAAUCCCUCCUCCGCUGCCGCGCCGUCUGCCGCGGCUGGCGCAGCGCCACCUACACACGGGGCUUCCUCCUCGCCCACCACGCCCGCCAGCCAACCCUCCCCAUCCUCUACUGCUACAAGCUCAGCGACGACGAGGACGAGGCCGAGUGCCUGGACAUCAUCCCCUUCGAUCACCGGGCAGGGCUCCCCGCCGCCGAGCAGAUCCAGUCCGCCGCGCGACUUGCUCAAGCCUCCCACCUCUUUCUGGAGGCCUCCUGUGACGGCCUCCUCGUCGUCUCCGGAGGCAGCGCGCAAUUCGCUAUCUGCAACCCGGUGACUCGUCAGUAUGCUCCCCUUCCGCUGCUUUCUGACAAACCGUUCUUGGCAAUGUACCCUUACCCCCCUACAGGGGAGUAUAGACUACUCACGUACCCUUGCCGGAAGUCAACUCUGACCAGUCAAGUUGACUGCUACGUCUUUGCACUGGGGUCCAGCCAGCCGCCGAGGAACAUCGGGUGGGUGGGCGUCGGGGAACUGAACUUCAACGCCACAUCUUUGCUUUUCCGUGGUAGCCUAUAUUGGUACCUAUGGCAGCAUGAGAGCGAAAGCAACAAGAUAAUCGUGUUCGACACCACAACUGAGUCGUUCCGGUUAUUGUGCGGUGCCGUUGUUCCUGGCUGCCAUGAGCUGUUUGAGAUGGAUGGCAUGCUCGGCAUGUCCAUCUUUAACAUGGAAGGGACAGUCAUUGAUAUCUGGGUGUUGCAGCAGGACUAUGAAAGAGAGGUCUGGACCUUCAAGUGCCAGAUUGAAAUGCCGGUUAUGGAGAUCAGGGCACAGUGUGGGAGUCAUGAAGAUUUUUGGAAUGUGCUAGUCGUACCUAGGGAUGGCGAGUUGUUUGUGCUGCUCAGAUUUGCUGGGUGGCUACUGCAGGUCGACAUGAAUGGCAAGUUGGUUGCCAGUUUACAUCGCAAAGGCGUCGGUCCUACUAGGCUUCAGCUCAAACAAACUCUUGUUCCGCAUGCCUUCUUUCCAACACUAGAGGGUUAUGUUGUGAACGAUUUUCCUUUUAUCUGA
rnacentral:rRNA from 1 species